rnacentral:tRNA from 1 species
GCGUUCCUGGUGCGCGGUGGGGGCGGCCUGCUCGGGGCCGGCCGGGUCCGCUCCGUUCAGCACGGCGGAGACCCG